rnacentral:rRNA from 1 species
GGACCCCACUGCUAUCGGGGUGGGACUAAGCCAUGCAAGUCUAUGCUCACCCUCGUGAGCAUGGCGUACNGCUCAGUAACACGUAGCUAACCUGCCCUAGAGAGGGGGAUAUCCUCGGGAAACUGAGGGUAAACCCCCAUAGGUAACGAGUUCUGGAAUGACUCGUUACCGAAAGUAGGCUAGGAGAAUGGUCCUAGCCUAGCUCUAGGAUGGGGCUGCGGCCGAUCAGGUAGUUGGUGAGGUAACGGCUCACCAAGCCUGUGACCGGUGCGGGCCGUGAGAGCGGGAGCCCGGAGAUGGACUCUGAGACAAGAGUCCAGGCCCUACGGGGCGCAGCAGGCGCGAAACCUCCGCAAUGCGCGCAAGCGCGACGGGGUCACCCCGAGUGCCACCUUUAUGGUGGCUUUUGCCUAGUGUAAAAAGCUAGGCGAAUAAGGGGGG